rnacentral:tRNA from 1 species
UUUCCCAUGGUGUAACUGGCAACACGCCGGCUUGUCCGGCGUCCCGGGUUCAAGUCCCGGAGGGAGAA